rnacentral:rRNA from 1 species
CAGUAGCCGCGGUAAUACGUAGGUGGCAAGCGUUGUCCGGAAUUAUUGGGCGUAGAGGGCUCGCAGGCGGUUUCUUAAGUCUGAUGUGAGAACCCCCGGCUCAACCGGGGAGGGUCAUUGGAAACUGGGAAACUUGAGUGCAGAAGAGGAGAGUGGAAUUCCACGUGUAGCGGUGAAAUGCGUAGAGAUGUGGAGGAACACCAGUGGCGAAGGCGACUCUCUGGUCUGUAACUGACGCUGAGGAGCGAAAGCGUGGGGAGCGAACAGGAUUAGAUACCCGUGUAGUCCCUGUCUCUUAUAC